AGCGAACGCUGGCGGCAGGCCUAACACAUGCAAGUCGAACGAACCUUUCGGGGUUAGUGGCGGACGGGUGAGUAACACGUGGGAACGUGCCCUUAGGUUCGGAAUAACUCAGGGAAACUUGUGCUAAUACCGAAUGUGCCCUUCGGGGGAAAGAUUAAUCGCCUUUAGAGCGGCCCGCGUCUGAUUAGCUAGUUGGUUGAGGUAAUGGCUCACCAAGGCGACGAUCAGUAGCUGGUCUGAGAGGAUGAUCAGCCACAUUGGGACUGAGACACGGCCCAAACUCCUACGGGAGGCAGCAGUGGGGAAUCUUGCGCAAUGGGCGAAAGCCUGACGCAGCCAUGCCGCGUGAAUGAUGAAGGUCUUAGGAUUGUAAAAUGCUUUCACCGGGGACGAUAAUGACGGUACCCGGAGAAGAAGCCCCGGCUAACUUCGUG
rnacentral:rRNA from 1 species